CGGCCGCGUCGACGUAACGCGUAGGUAACCUGCCUGGUAGCGGGGGAUAACUAUUGGAAACGAUAGCUAAUACCGCAUAACAUUGACUAUUGCAUGAUAGUCAAUUGAAAGGUGCAAAUGCACCACUAUCAGAUGGACCUGCGUUGUAUUAGCUAGUUGGUGGGGUAACGGCUCACCAAGGCGACGAUACAUAGCCGACCUGAGAGGGUGAUCGGCCACACUGGGACUGAGACACGGCCCAGACUCCUACGGGAGGCAGCAGUAGGGAAUCUUCGGCAAUGGACGGAAGUCUGACCGAGCAACGCCGCGUGAGUGAAGAAGGUUUUCGGAUCGUAAACUCCUGUCGUAAG
rnacentral:rRNA from 1 species